rnacentral:rRNA from 1 species
GGGGAAUCUUCCGCAAUGGACGAAAGUCUGACGGAGCAACGCCGCGUGAGUGAAGAAGGUUCUCGGAUCGUAAAACUCUGUUUUCAGGGACGAAUGUGCACAGUGUAAAUAAUGCUGUGUAAUGACGGUACCUGAGUAGAAAGCCACGGCUAACUACGUGCCAGCAGCCGCGGUAAUACGUAGGUGGCAAGCGUUGUCCGGAAUUAUUGGGCGUAAAGCGCGCGCAGGUGGGAUAUUAAGUCUGGUGUUAAAGUUCGGGGCUCAACCCCGUGAAGCAUUUGGGAACUGAUAUUCUUGAGUGCAGGAGAGGAAAGUGGAAUUCCUAGUGUAGCGGUGAAAUGCGUAGAUAUUAGGAGGAACACCAGUGGCGAAGGCGACUUUCUGGACUGUGUCUGACACUGAGGCGCGAAAGCCA